AAUGGUCUACCAAGGAUGAGUGGUAUCUCUUCAUCUUCCGGCAUUUCUAAGAUGACAAAGUCCACUGAAAAUACAAACUUAUCAAUCUUCACAAGAACAUCUUUCACCACUCCAUAAGGUCUCUUCACAUAGUGGUCAGCAAAUUGAAGUUUCAUUCUGGUAUCUUGCACUUUUCCAAUCCCCAACCUCUUGUAAAUGGAUAACGGCAUGAGACUCACACUUGCCCCCAAGUCUAUAAGGGCCUUUUU
rnacentral:lncRNA from 1 species